UUGCUCCUGAAAAGCUCGUAUUAUGAAUAUUCGUUCAUUUCUCAAUUUAACCAUAUAUAGACAUGUUUUGGCUCAGAAUUUGUCAUAGGAUAAACGGUAGUUUAUACGUGAUAUUCCUCUCUUCUCAAAUUCCUUGUUUGUCUCUAAGGUACAGAACAGCACCUAUUUUCCCAUGGGCAUUUUUGAACAAUUACUCGAUAUGCUUUUCUUCUCUCUCUCUCUCGAAGAAAUGUGAAGCAUUUGGGGUUUUUUUUUAGCCUCCCAGUAACUAUAUAUUCGCAGAGUUUUAAUUUAAUAUUAUUUCUUUCCUUAGGACUCAUUGUUCCAAACAAGUUCAGUCAACUGCUCCUGUUGGCAUUCUUUACUCUGUUGAUGUAAUGUAAUGAGACGUUCAAUUCAAAAGGCAUGCCUAACAGGGAUAAAACCAGGGGGGUACCCUGCGGUGUAAAGGACACUCUUUUGGAUUUUUUUAAAGUGAUGUAUAAUACCACUAUAUACAUUUCUUCAUUUGCGACACCCCCCUGACAAAUUCCUGGAUCAUCCCCUGCCUAAAUCUCAUGCUUUACUUAAUAUAACCACCAGUUGAGUGAGUUUUUCCUAGUCAUGUGUUAUCAUGAUAUUACUCGUUAUUCAGCUUCUUAUCCAUUAUUAUAUAUCUUAUAUAGUACACACGCUCUGAUUGGUAGAGAACUGUGGUUUAUUAGUGAAGGUAGCACAGUUGCGUUUCAAAGAAUUGUAAAAAAAAGGCACUGAACUAAACUGAAACUACAACAGAUUUUUUAUUUCUCUAUGAUAAAGCGGCUGUUUUCGUGCCCUGUUCAUCAAUAAGCACUAACGGGAAAUACCGAAAACACUCAAAAAGUGUGACGACUACAAGCUCCGAACACUUCUUUCACUUUCUGCGUGCUUUAUAACUGAACCAAUAAAAAGAGGUUAAGUUUGCUAAUGCUUGAUUACAUUGCUUUUUUCGUAGUAAUUCGCUUUAUGGUAGCUUCUAUCAUAGUACCUUUUCCUGGUGAUGCACUAUAGUACUUCUUGUUUCUUUAUAUUCACUGUAGUUAUUGGUUUUGGAGAGACUUGCCAACAGUCCUCACUUACUUUGUCCAGUGUAUGAUGUUACUAUUGGAUCCUGUCUCUCAAAUAUUUAUAUUUGAUAUCUGUAGGUAACAUCAGUUUAGAGGGUUUACAAGUGUGACUGUAAGAAACUACCAAGAAUUGCGGGAAUCCUGCCUUGGUAAUCAGACUUUCAGUUCCUGUGGAAAGUGAACAGAUGCAUGGAAGAUAGGGAGUACGCAUUACAUGUUGGAGCUUGGAUACAUACAAGGUGAAGGAUUGUUGUCAUCUAUUGCUUUAUUUAAAUUUAAAUCUGCUCUGUUCGUGGGCCUUUUUCAUGUGGCAGCCAUGUUGGUUCGAACAUUAGAUUGCACCGGGUGUAGCCUCAUAUACAAGUGUAUUCUUAUGAGAAUAAACAUGGUUUCCACGUGAGUAAGGCCCAUGUUGAUCAAAGGAUGGCUAUUCUGUGUUAUAUUACAUGCGCAGUGCUCAGUAGGCAUUACGACUGUCAGCAAUAGGUUUGCUAAAUGCACAGGGUAUAUUGUUAGUAUAUGAUGCACAAAGUAUUUGAUAUGUUAGAUGAGCAUGGUACAGUGAGUAUUAAAUACCCCGUGCACUCUACAUGUAUUAGAUAUACUGCGCACACCAGGUGUGUUAGAUGCACAGGGUAUAUUGUUAGUAUAUGAUGCACAGUGUAUUUGAUAUGUUAGAUGAGCAGGAUACAGUGAGUAUCAAAUACCCUGUGCACUCUACAUGUAUUAGAUACACUGCGCACACCAGGUGUGUUAGAUGCACAGGGUAUAUUGUUAGUGUAUGAUGCACAGUGUAUUUGAUAUGUUAGAUGAGCAGGGUACAGUGAGUAUUAAAUACCCUGUGCCCCCUACAUGUAUUAGAUACGCUGCGCACACCAGGUGUGUUAGAUCCACGGGAUAUAUUGUUAGUAUAUGAUGCACAGUGUAUUUGAUCUGAUCUAGGUGCAUCGUGUGCACUGGCCAUAUAUAUAUCGUGCCCAAUGCGUGUAUUAGAUUUAUCCUGUAGCGUGCAUGAUGUGAUCUAGAUACUUGUGUGCACUGUCCAUAGAUAUAUUGUGCCCAAUGCGUGUAUUAGAUUUAUCCUGUAGGGUGCAUGAUGUGAUCUAGAUACAUCGUGUGCACUGUCCAUAGAUAUAUUGUGCCCAGUGCGUGUAUUAGAUUUAUCCUGUAGGGUGCAUGAUGUGAUCUAGAUACAUCGUGUGCACUGUCCAUAGAUAUAUUGUGCCCAAUGCGUGAUAGAUUUAUCCUGUAGGGUGCAUGAUGUGAUCUAGAUACAUCGUGUGCAYUGUCCAUAGAUAUAUUGUGCCCAAUGCGUGUAUUAGAUUUAUCAUGUAGCGUGCAUGAUGUGAUCUGGAUACAUCGUGUGCACUGUCCAUAUGUAUAUCGUGCCCAAUGCGUGUGUAGUUGGCUACAUACAUCGUGUGYAGUUGUGUGUCGCGCGCUUCACGGUGCCCAUGCAUUACAUUGAUGCACAACAUUUUCUUAAAUACUAUACUAUAAUAAAGAUAAAGUACCGUAUUUUAAACACCGUAAUCGGCGUAAACGAUUACAGUAACGCAUUUGAUAAUAGAAAUGCCAUCGUAUUUGGUAAAUGUAGAGUCUUCUAUCAUUUUAAUAAAGUUGUAUUUUUAUUGUGUAA